UACUGUUAAAGUGUUUUUAAUCAUGUAUGCGAAUCGAAAAAUAAAUCGUAAUUACUACAAAAGCAGAAUCGUUUUAAUUACUUGGAACUAAAAGCAAUGCUUUAUUUCUAUUAAGGAGUACAAAUUACAGGCAGGGCAGCGCACAUUGUCCAACAGGAGUGACAUGUAACUUAAAUAAUGCUGUUUUGUAAAUAUUAUAUUGAGAUAUCAUAGUAAAACACAUCGAACGCGCAUUUUCAUUUUAUACCACAAUUUGUGUAUGCUGAGUUUGAUUUAGUAGUAGGUAGAUUAUAAUAAUUCAGAUUGUGUUGCUAGAAGUAGUCUGAUGGGUUUUGUAGGUGGACGUUUAAUUUUGAUGUUGUUUAAGUUAUCAAAUGGCAUCAGUAUUACUUUGGAUGUGUAGUGUGAGGAAUUGGACACCAUGAUGGAGAAGCUCACGAAUCCCCGACCAGCCUUGGUUAAUAAUGGUGUUUUGUAAAUUUUAGAUUGACCCACAGAGAAAACAACACAUCGAACGCGAAUUCAUUUUAUACAACAAUUUGUUUUUUUUAAAGAAUUUUAUGACCUGGUAACUAAGACCUUUAGGUCAAGAAUACAAUUUGUGUAUCGGGUUAUACAAUAACAGUAUUGCCAAUUACUUAUUUAGCGCAGAACCGUCGACAAACAUAUCACUGAUUUGGGGGUUUGAUUUCUUUUUUUGUAAGCAUUUAAUGAUACUCUAUAAGAAAUAUCAAUCGUAUACAUUUUUUUAGUUAGUUUUGAGUUUUCUUUUCAAAAACAAUGAUUGAAUUAAAACAUUUUUUACGGUGGCAACUCCGUAAAUUUUUGUCUUUGAUUUUAACAGAAUUUUAGAAAUUAUUUUAAACUUUCGCGUUUAUCCACGUUACAUUACUUGACACCACUACCUGCGGAUCUUACCACGAUUUUCACAUGCAAUGAGUACCACCAGAGAUAUCGGCGCCGAUUUUUUUUGCUACCUAUACUGAUAGCCUUAAUAGGCUAUUUCAGCUUCUCGGGGCUCGAACCGGAGUGUUGCUACGUGUUUAGAGCAACGCCCGGCGCCGUUGCAAUCGAUAUGAUUACGGUUAGACUGAAGAAGAAGAAGAAGACUGCUAGUAGAAGCUAGUGAAGCUAGUGCUAUUGCUAGAGAAGUUCCGAUAAAGCUGUCACCCCGACAAUAUACAUAAACGAUAUCGAUAGUUUUAUCCAAACAAAUUGGUUUCACUGCGUGCCUAUAUAGUAAAUUGUCUUUAAGGUUUUUGCAUAGUUUAUCAAGAUGGGUAAAAACUUUUUUUUUUUAAGAUUUUUAUAUGUUUUCAUGCAAGUCUGUGUAAAAGACAAAAACAAUCAUAACAUAAUACGUAUUUACAAAACAGCAAUUAACAAUUACAUGUACCAGCGUGGACUUUGUGAAUUUUAUAGUAAAUAUUUAUCUAAAUACCUCUUGGAUAGUCGAGAGAAUGAAGUAUAGAAACGUGACAAAGCCAUUAGUGACGAGACUGCGAAUGAUAUGAAAGAACGGCCAAUAAUACGCAAAAAUGUGUGUAUUACGGCAAAGUGUGUGAACGUAAAACAAAUCCAAACAAAACUAAGUUAAUAAUAGAAAUAAUUCAUUUAUACUAAACUAUGGGCGCACAUUGCACAUCCCGCACGUUUCCGCUGCACAUUGGUAGGUAUUUGGUACGCAACUUUUUUAAUAGAUCUACUGCUGUUCAUUUAUUGCCGGACCGGCAUGAACGUACAAUAUACGCCCCGACUUACGAGGUACGAAAAAUCAACAAAACGAUGCGAUUUAUGUAAUAAAAACGGGCAAGGUACGAUACGUCAAAAGGCAAGUUCGAAAAAUCGAAAAUACCUACCAGCUACAAAUUUCGUCACAUGUUGUCUUCUCGCAUUAAAACUGUAUAAUCUCAAAACUUACUAAUUUUACAAGUGUUUUAAAGGUUUAUUAAACAUGUGAUAUUUUUAAUAUAAAUCAUCUUUGCAACAUUUAUUUUUUACCAGUUACAUUAUCUGUCUUUUAAAGUAAGAUAAAAUUAUGUAUUAAUUUUGUUAAUAGAAGUCAAAACAAAGGUAAACUUAAAAAAAAACGAAACUAUGCUCUUUUGACAGUAUUUAUGAGCAAAAAUAGUGGUGAUACCAAAUGAUUCCGCAUAUCGAACACUCAACUUCGAAUAUUUUUGGAAAUUGUACACUUUUAAUGCGAAAAGACGAAUUGUAUCCUGUACUAAAUUCUAUUAAUCGGAACAGUACGGAGUGUGCUUCGCGCAUUGGUUCUCUGUGUGUGGACAUCUUGACUCCAGCAUGAUGUCUGAACGCAGCAUACCUAGCGAUAUCGGCUACACCACACAUUAUCGAAAAUAUUGGCAUAACAAAGGCUUCGCUGUCUUAGAUGAAGAUUUAUGAUUAAAAAAAAACGAUUGACAAAACCCAAAACAUAUGCAACAAAAUAGACAAGGCUUAUUCUUAAUUCCUUAUAAACAAAUUUGAAUUUUGAAUUCCAGAAUUUUUUUAAUUGACUGAUUCACAGAAAUAAAUAAAAUAUCCUUAAAACCUAACUAAAUGUUGUAAAAUAAAUUUUAUGAGUUUAUUAUAAUGAAAUAAAGAGUGGUUUAUUCAAAAAA